rnacentral:rRNA from 1 species
ACAGAGGGGGCAAGCGUUAUUCGGAAUUAUUGGGCGUAAAGGGCGCGUAGGCGGUUUUUUAAGUCGGAUGUGCAAUCCCCAGGCUCAACCUGGGAACUGCAUCCGAGACUGGAAGGCUAGAGUACUGGAGAGGGUGGUGGAAUUCCUCGCGUAGCGGUGAAAUGCGUAGAUAUCGGGAGGAACAUCAGUGGCGAAGGCGACCGCCUGGCCUAACACUGACGCUGAGGUGCGAAAGCGUGGGUAGCAAACAGGA